GACGAACGCUGGCGGCGUGCUUAACACAUGCAAGUCGAACGGAGUAUUCAGCAAUGGAUACUUAGUGGCGAACGGGUGAGUAAUGCGUAGACAACCUGCCUUCUAGAUGGGGACAACACCGCGAAAGUGGUGCGAAUACCGAAUGUUGUAACAAGAAUGCAUGUUCCUGUUACUAAAGGUGGCCUCUGCAUAUGCUACCACUAGAAGAGGGGUAUGCGUCUGAUUAGUUAGUUGGCGAGGUAACGGCUCACCAAGGCGACGAUCAGUAGCCGGUCUGAGAGGAUGGACGGCCACAUUGGGACUGAGACACGGCCCAAACUCCUACGGGAGGCAGCAGUGGGGAAUCUUCCGCAAUGGACGAAAGUCUGACGGAGCAACGCCGCGUGAGUGAAGAAGGUUUUCGGAUCGUAAAGCUCUGUCUUUUGGGACGAACGUGAGGUAUAUGAAUAAUGUACUUCAAUGACGGUACUAAAGGAGGAAGCCACGGCUAACUACGUGCCAGCAGCCGCCGCGGUAA
rnacentral:rRNA from 1 species